rnacentral:lncRNA from 1 species
AAAAGCACAGCGCUGCUGACCUCCUUAAGGAUAGGUGAGUCGGUUUAUUUCAUUUUUAAAAGCAAUCCUCAGAACGUAUCAGCAUAAGAGGCAUACAGGUGAGGAUAAAGUUACCACUGGUGGAUAAAAGCUCCGGUACAGCAACACGUAUGGUAGCAGAGAGGAACCCGUCGUCCACCAAUUAGUGCUCCAUGGGCUCUUCUGCCUUCUCUGCAGGCUCAUCAGCAGGCAGAGCAGGCUUUCUCUGUGGUCUCUCCUCAAGGCCUUCUAGGAACGGUGCUACAUCAUCGUCGUCAUAGAUUGUGAACUCCAUGUCUUUGCCAACAAUCCCGAUGGAAACAUUCUUGGUGGUUAGAUCCUGUUCAGCAGGAAGAGUCUCUCUCAGGGCACGCAGUCCAUGUUUAACUAGCUCGUUUAGAUUACAAUCAGUAAAUUCAGUCAUGUGUCUUUCCAAGUAAGUUCGUGCUGAUUGCGAACGAGCACCAAUGGACAUUGCUUUACAGUCAAAAUAGUUUGCUGAGGGACAAGUUUGGAAGAUGUGAGGGCCCAUAUCAUCAUAACCUGCAAUGAGCAGUCCUACACCAUAUGGUCUUCUGCCAUAGCGCUGCGUUGGUAUCUGCGUUUUGCUUCCGAUUAGUGACACCAAACGAGAUACUGGAAGAGGUCUAUCAAACACAAAUCUAGAAUCCAGGCACUCCUGACGCAUGAAAUUGCACAAGAGUCUUGCAUCAGCUGUAAGUCCAGCAAUUGAGAUACCGAUAUGGUUGUCAACGUACAGGAUCUUUUUCUGAUGAGCUGCCAGCUCAGACUGUGCUCGCUUUAGAGCAACCAGAACAGCAUGUGUUUUCGACUUCAGCCCCACAGUGGCUGAGCCUUGCUUCACAGCUUCCAUGGCAUAUUCUAUUUGAUGAAUCCGCCCCUGGGGGCUCCACACCGUCACGUCGUUAUCGUACUGGUUGCGGAACAUGCUUCCUGUGCCGGCAGCGACGCGGGCUGAGGGGCACCGAGGGGGCCGCGCUCCGGCAGCGCUCGCUCCGGCCUGGGGCGGUCAGACAGCGGCAGUCGCAGCCCGACACAUCGAGCGGGCGCGCCCCGGGGAUCGGCGCAUGCGCAGUCGGGCCGGGCCUCUGCGCGCUGUCCUUUCUUCCCUCCGUCAGUUGUUCUGCUGAGUAAAUGUAAUUACGUUCCUAAAUGCGUCUUUUCGCUCUCAAAAGUAGAAAGCUGAAGUACUUAACAUAAAUCAAGCGGCCACCAGAGCUCUUAUUUUGGAUCAUCGCGAACAUUUGCAUGUAGUUUAUCUGCAAAGCAAGUACAAAACCGCAGUGACUUACUACGAAAAGCUCUGCAGCAGCACACGGCUCGAGCACAAGGACAGGAGAGAAGCAGAGCAUGCUGUGUUAUUUUUAAAGCAGCAUUCAGCUGCUGGAAUCACAGUCAUUCAAAUGGGAGCCAUGUGCCAUCACCCUCUGGUCCGAUGGCAUUUCUCUUAGCAUUGGAUAACAUCCUCUUGCACACCUUUUGCCACUGGAGAGGACUACGCUAUUGCCUGGAAUAAAAGCCAUCCAAACCAACUGAUUUUAAUUACCCGACUUACUAUUUUUCAGCUUUGUGAUUAAUAAAACCUCACUCGAGCUGAAAUAACUUCCUUUCUUCAGCAGUGUUUGACCUGCCUUGCAACAGGAUAUAUAAAUGCGUUAUUAAGUGAGCUUGAAGCUGAGCAGCUUCCCAGUUUCAGAGCACUCAGUAAAUAUUGCUGUAGGCCCCGCUAUGGGGCCACUCUGUAAUAACUUCCUACAGCAAUAAGUGACUCCCUCCAAGUCCGUUCACUCCACCUACAGUCAGAGAACAAUAGACAGAUAUUUCCUCUGGUUUGGCAUUAGGUGUAUUAGGUUUCAUGGAAUGCUAAACUAUGCCAAGACUGUUGUUCUGCAUAUGUACUGAUAAGUGGAGGAAGUGAUGUUAGGAGCCACAUUUUUGGCCAUAAAGAGGGGGGGGGGAUUUCUCUAAAACUUCACACAAGAAAAUCAGAUGAAAUACAUACACGUGAAGAGCUUCUAGAAGUUAAAUACAUUGUAACAUAAGCACAUUAAAUGUCAAGUCAUCUUUUUCCUCUCUACAAUCAAAACAAAAUUAACUCGAGGUCUUGCUAUUAAAUUUCUUCUAAACCAAGCUGAUUAAAGUAAUCAUAGAACAGCCUGGGUUGAAAAGGACCACAAUGAUCACCCAGUUUCAACCCCCUGCUAUGUGUAGGGUCGCCAACCAGCAGACCAGGCUGCCCAGAGCCACAUCCAGCCUGGCCUUGAAUGCAUCCAGAGAUGGGGCAUCCACAGCCUCCUUGGGCAACCUGUUCCAGUGCAUCACCACCCUCUGUGUGGGAAACUUCCUCCUAACAUCUAACCUAAACCUUCCCUGCCUCAGUUUAAAACCAUUCCCCCUUGUCCUAUCACUAUCCAAC